ensembl:ncRNA asRNA:CR45366 antisense RNA:CR45366
GGCCCAGUUGUUCAGCUGUUUGGAAUUGAUAUGUCCGAAGUUCAGUUAAAUUGACUAGGAUGCGGGUGCGGAAAUUUCCACUCGUUAAACUUACAUCUUCCGCAGUCACAAAGAAAUUCCACGGGGUCAUGGUACCAAUGCCCAACAGGUAGAACACGAGGUAGGUGAAGAGUCGUCCACUCUCGGGUUCGUUGGACACCAAAACUACCUCGUCCUGCUGGCGUUCCAUGAGACAUUGCUCAUCCGCAUGGUGGUCCUGCGGACGAAAAGCGGGAACGAAGCUGCCCUCCGUGCCCAGAAUCUCGUCAUCCUCGUCCAGGGCGUCCACCAGUCGUCGUGUGUCACUGGUGCCUGGCAUUGCCACUGAAUUGCACUACUGUUUUGUACGCAGCCCUUGGUAUUCAUAAAUUUACAACACCUCUGGCGGAUUAUUCACAUCUGUAAUUGUGGAGAAGUAUUCGAUGUAACUUAAUCUGAUGCAAUUUACUUUCAUGUGUAUCAUUUAGCACGGACGAACUGCGUAACAUAAAAACGAAUUUGUAAACAACAAAGCAAGACAUUAUACAAAAAAUAUCGAUGGCUUAUCGAGAGGAAUCGAUUAAAUGAAAAUAUCUAAGAUAUCGCACUAACACCACAAAACCGUUCACCCAGGUUGGCAGCCCUUGGCGCGAAAUGUGAUGGGAUUCAAACUGCAUCUUAGUUUUGCAUCUUAGUCCUAUAUUUUAGAGGACUGUGAAAUUGGAUUUUAUUUGCAAAACGAGCGUAGCAUCCACCUCAAAUCGUAAUUUAAUUGCCAGCCAGAGCAGCAACAAUAAAAACACCAAUAUCAAGCAGACCCUAGAGCUG